rnacentral:rRNA from 1 species
CGAACGCUUGCUGCAUGCUUUAUACAUGCAAGUCGAACGGAGGCCCUAGCUUGCUAGGUGUCCUUAGUGGCGCACGGGUGAGUAACACGUGGGAACAUACCUUAUAGUACGGAAUAACUGCGGGAAACUGUAGCUAAUACCGUAUAUUCCAGUAAUGGGAAAGAUUUAUCGCUAUAAGAUUGGCCCGCGCAAGAUUAGCUUGUUGGUGAGGUAAAAGCUCACCAAGGCUUCGAUCUUUAGCUGGUUUGAGAGGACGAUCAGCCACACUGGGACUGAGACACGGCCCAGACUCCUACGGGAGGCAGCAGUAGGGAAUAUUGGACAAUGGGGGCAACCCUGAUCCAGCAAUGCAGCGUGAGUGACGAAGGCCUUAGGGUUGUAAAACUCUUUCAUCGGUGAGGAUAAUGACAGUAGCCGAAGAAGAAGGACCG